GAAAUGCGAUAAGUAAUGUGAAUUGCAGAAUUCAGUGAAUCAUCGAAUCUUUGAACGCAUCUUGCGCUCCUUGGUAUUCCUUGGAGCAUGCCUGUUUGAGUAUCAUGAAAUCUUCAAAGUAAAUCUUUUGUUAACUCGAUUGGUUUCUACUUUGGUAUUGGAGGUCUUUGCAGCUUCACACCUGCUCCUCUUUGUUCAUUAGCUGGAUCUCAGUGUUAUGCUUGGUUCCACUCGGCGUGAUAAGUUAUCUAUCGCUGAGGACACUGUAAAAGGUGGCCAAGGUAAAUGCAGAUGAACCGCUUCUAAUAGUCCAUUGACUUGGACAAUACUUUUAUGAUCUGAUCUCAAAUCAGGUAGGACUACCCGCUGAACUUAAGC
rnacentral:misc_RNA from 1 species